UUUACAAUGGGCAGAAAGCAGGAGCCAUCACUGAAGGAUCUGGGGCUGGAUGUUCUGGAGGAAAGGACAAACCUGGGGUGGAUCACCACUUGGCAAAUUUAAAAGGGAGGUAGGAGGCCAGGGGCUGACCUGCCUUUGGAAUUCUAUCCAUGAAAGUCUAGUGAUCAGGCACGUCCAGUGGUCAGAAAUGCCAACCCUUCAUCUGAAGCCAGGAUACUGCUUUGCUCUAGAAGAAAGGACAGCUGGUUUUAAAGCCAAGUUCCUGUUGCUCCUAAAAUCCCAUCACUUUUUCCAGGGACUUCCAUUGACGAAAUGGCUUCCUCAAGUUUAAAGUAUCCCAGCAAAGCAGCACUAAGUCACAUCUCUACAGUUCAAAGAACAAAAGUACUUAAAAUAGGUCUUCAUUUGUCUGAACUUGAAGUUACUUUACCUGCAAAUAAGUCAGAUUAAUUUCUUGGCCCGAACCCAAAAUAAAUGGGUUUGUGUUCAUUGCAUUUUAAGGUAAGUGUGUCUCUUGUAAAUCUGCACUAGUUUGGUGGUAGCAAAGAGCUGAUAAGCCCUUCAGGGGUUCAUUAGUCAUUUUCAGAAAGCCUCUCUACCAGGAGGUCCACCUACUGGGCAGUGCAAACAUGUUCCCCAGGAACUAAAACCAUAUAAACAGACAUGUAUUUCCUAGAAACAAACCAGAUUAAGAAAAAAUACCCUGCAAUGAAAAAUCAAAAAGUAUAGUUUCUGGAGUCCUUGGAAAAAGAAAGAUGUCCUGAUCACCUGUAUUGGUCAAAACUACAGGAAAAAGCACUGUAAGAGUUCUAAGUGUUGA
rnacentral:lncRNA from 1 species